rnacentral:lncRNA from 1 species
CUAAAAUCAAUUUUACAAUAUCUUACUCAAAUUAACACACACUUAACCGUUAAUUUUAUAGCUACACUUCAGUUUAAGGGGCUCAAUUCAAUCACAUCUUUCUCAACUUUCCAAAACAAUUUCCAUUCAUCACAAAAGGGUCUCUUCAUAAAAAUCACACCACACUAGACAGAAUUGAGAGCGCAUGAUGAUCUCGCAGCCAGAUAAUUGACCACACCAAUUUAUUAAAAACAAAAGCACAACACGAAAUGAAUGAAUGACCCCCCCCCCAAGAACAAAGUGAGAAGGUGGUGUGAUUAUUAUUCAUACCACUUAUAUAUGUGGGGAUCAACACAGGACCUCUCAUACAGGGAAAGGAGCAGCACGUAAAGGCAAAAGAAAGUGGUCGUUAGAUUAUGGAGUCAUAGAUGUAGACAUGCCUGAAUGAUGAUGCUCUUGCUCUUGCAUCACUCACGUAUAUAUAAACCCUAUCAUUGCGCUUUGCCUCUCUCUCUCUCUGUGUGUUAUUGUUUGUCUCCCAUAAUGAGUGUGCACCCCUUUUCUACAUUGACCAGCUUUUUCUAGCUUAAAUUGCGCAAGC